AUUGAAAGCUGGCGUCUUCGGCGUCCGCAUUGUAAUCUCAAGAAGUGUUUUCCGCUUCGGACCAUGCCUAAGUCCCUUGGAAAAGGGCAUCAUAGAGGGUGAUAAUCCCGUACAUGGCAUGGAGCGCCCGUAGCUUUGUGAUACGCUUUCUAAGAGUCGAGUUGUUUGGGAAUGCAGCUCAAAAUGGGUGGUAAAUGCCAUCUAAGGCUAAAUAUUGGGGAGAGACCGAUAGCGAACAAGUACAGUGAUGGAAAGAUGAAAAGAACUUUGAAAAGAGAGUUAAACAGUACGUGAAAUUGCCAAAAGGGAAGGGUAGGAGGUCAGAGAUGCGGCUUGGGAUUCAGCCUUGCUUUUGCAUGGUGUUUUUCCCCUGUUGCAGGCCAACGUCGGUUUUGGGCACUGGAGAAGGGUGAGAGGAACGUGGCAUCCCUCGGGAUGUGUUAUAGCCUCUCACUGGAUACAGCGACCGAGACCGAGGACAGCAGCGUACUCGCAAGAGCGGGCCUUCGGGCACCUUUACGCUUAGGGCGUUGGCAUAAUGGCCCUCUACCAC
rnacentral:rRNA from 1 species